AGAACCAUUUAUGCAGUUGUGCCUGCUGUAGUAGCUGUUGUUGGAUUUUAUUUCAGGCACACAAAUUUUGUGAAGGUAAAAGUUAUAUCCAUGUAUAUUUAUCUAUAGAUAUAUAUUGUUUUUAUAUCAGUUUUAAAUAAGUAUAUCAGAUUGAAGUUCAAAAUGUCUCAUCUGCAGGAACUUAGUCUUAGUUGGAUCGUGAUUCAGUGGAGAGGAGAAGAGAAUAUGAAAAAAAUACUGAAAUAACUCUUUGAGACUUUAUUGAUUUUGCUUGAUGAAAUACAAAGAAGAACAAGCUAUUUAUAGAAGG
rnacentral:lncRNA from 1 species